UGUAUUCACUACUGUAAGUCGCUCUGAAUAAGAGCGUCUGCUAAAUGACUAAAA
rfam:Salmo salar isolate Sally breed double haploid chromosome ssa02, whole genome shotgun sequence.